rnacentral:rRNA from 1 species
GGAUUAGAUACCCUGGUAGUCCACGCCGUAAACGAUGUCGACUAGCCGUUGGGGUCCUUGAGGCCUUAGUGGCGCAGCUAACGCGAUAAGUCGACCGCCUGGGGAGUACGGCCGCAAGGUUAAAACUCAAAUGAAUUGACGGGGGCCCGCACAAGCGGUGGAGCAUGUGGUUUAAUUCGAAGCAACGCGAAGAACCUUACCAGGUCUUGACAUCCUGAGAACUUUCUAGAGAUAGAUUGGUGCCUUCGGGAACUCAGAGACAGGUGCUGCAUGGCUGUCGUCAGCUCGUGCCG